rnacentral:rRNA from 1 species
GAUGAACGCUAGCUACAGGCUUAACACAUGCAAGUCGAGGGGAAACGACAGAGGAAGCUUGCUUCCUUUGGGCGUCGACCGGCGCACGGGUGAGUAACGCGUAUCCAACCUUCCCGCAAGUAAGGGAUAACCCGUAGAAAUGCGGCCUAAUACCUUAUGUUUUCCUUAGAUGGCAUCUGAUGAGGAACAAAGAUCCGUCGCUUGCGGAUGGGGAUGCGUCUGAUUAGUUAGUCGGCGGGGUAACGGCCCACCAAGGCUACGAUCAGUAGGGGUUCUGAGAGGAAGGUCCCCCACAUUGGAACUGAGACACGGUCCAAACUCCUACGGGAGGCAGCAGUGAGGAAUAUUGGUCAAUGGGCGAGAGCCUGAACCAGCCAAGUAGCGUGCAGGAUGACGGCCCUAUGGGUUGUAAACUGCUUUUAUAAGGGAAUAAAGUGAGUCUCGUGAGACUUUUUGCAUGUACCUUAUGAAUAAGGACCGGCUAAUUCCGUGCCAGCAGCCG